rnacentral:rRNA from 1 species
UACAGAGGAGCCAAGCGUUGUCCGGAUUGACUGGGCGUAAAGCGCACGCAGGCGGAUGCGCGCGUGGGGUGUGAAAUCUGGCCGCUUAACGGCCAGGCGCCAUCCCAUACGGCGCGUCUGGAGUGAUGCAGAGGUCGGUGGAAUUGCCGGUGUAGUGGUGAAAUGCGUAGAGAUCGGCAGGAACAGCCCAGGGGAAACCAGCCGACUGGGCAUGACUACUGACGCUGAGGUGC